GCGGCCACUGCUAUCAAGUUCCGACUAAGCCAUGCGAGUCAAGGUAUCGUAAGAUGCCGGCAAACUGCUCAGUAACACGUGGAUAAUCUAACCUUGAGUAAGGGAUAACUUCGGGAAACUGAAGGUAAUACCUUAUAAUUGCUUAAAACUGGAAUGUUUUUGCAAUAAAAGUUACGACGCUCAAGGAUGAGUCUGCGACCUAUCAGGUAGUAGGUGGUGUAAUGGACCACCUAGCCUCAGACGGGUACGGGCCCUGGGAGGGGUAGCCCGGAGAUGGACUCUGAGACAUAAGUCCAGGCCCUACGGGGCGCAGCAGGCACGAACACUGUGCAAUGCGCGAAAGCGCGACACGGGGAGCUUGAGUGUCUUGGCAUAGCCAAGACUUUUCUCAUUCCUAAAAAGCAUGAGGAAUAAGUGCUGGGUAAGACGGGUGCCAGCCGCCGCGGUAACACCCGCAGCACGAGUAGUGGUCACUUUUAUUGAGCCUAAAGCGUUCGUAGCCGGUUUUGUAAAUCUUCAGAUAAAGCCUGAAGCUUAACUCCAGAAAGUCUGAAGAGACUGCAAGACUUGAGAUCGGGUGAGGUUAAACGUACUUUCAGGGUAGGGGUAAAAUCCUGUAAUCCCGGAAGGACGACCAGUGGCGAAAGCGUUUAACUAGAACGAAUCUGACGGUAAGGAACGAAGGCUAGGGUAGCAAACCGGAUUAGAUACCCGGGUAGUCCUAGCUGUAAACAUUGCCCAUUUGAUGUUGCUUUUCCGUUGAGGGAAGGCGGUGUCGGAGCGAAGGUGUUAAAUGGGCCGCUUGGGAAGUAUGGUCGCAAGACUGAAACUUAA
rnacentral:rRNA from 1 species